rnacentral:rRNA from 1 species
AUUGAACGCUGGCGGCAGGCCUAACACAUGCAAGUCGAGCGAGUGGCGGACGGGUGAGUACUGUAUGGGGGUCUGCUCGUUUGAGGUGGAUAACUCCUGGAGACGCUAGCUACUACCGCAUACUGUCGGAUCUAGCCCUAUGGGAUUAGCUAGUUGGUGAGGUACUGGCUCACCAAGCCGACGAUCCCUAGCUGGUCUGAGAGGAUGAUCAGCCACACUGGAACUGAGACACGGCCCAGACUCCUACGGGAGGCAGCAGUGGGGAAUAUUGCACAAUGGGCGAAAGCCUGAUACAGCCAUGCCGCGUGUGUGAAGAAGGUCUUAGGUUUGUAAAGCACUUUCAGUCGGGAGGCGUUACCGACAGAAGAAGCACCGGCUAACUCCGUGCCAGCAGCCGCGGUAAUAC